ACUUUAGCCACUUGCUUUAGGCUAUUCUUCUCCCCCUCUCGUUGUUAUUGUAGAAGUGUAGGAGCAAAAUCCUCCUAUUAUUAAUCAUGGGAAGCUUUUCCUUCUUCUUUUUUUUUUUUUAGAUCUACCAAAGUGUCACACCACUUUUUUUUUUUUUUGGCUUCCUUUGGUGGCCUUUUCUUCUUCUCCACUAACAUUUCAUCUUUCAUAUUUUCUUCUAUUCUUCGUUAUUCGCUUCAAGAGCUGUGAAUAUUUGCUUUAACCCACAUUUGUUGAAACCCAAGGGCGAUGAGAUGAUGACGGCGAAAUGGAUGACUGGAGGAGAUCUUUGUUGGUGGAAAGCAUAAAUUUUAAGAACUCAACACCGUCCACCGUUCAAAAUGUCGGGAUUUAGGUGGGACGAAGUGCCAUCGCUAAAGGAAGAGGAAACCCAUCGACAAAGAGUAGAGUUGUUCCAUCAAUGAUGUUAGUGGACGUUUGCGAUAGAUUGCCACCCAUGGCUGCUAGACCAUCUAUACCAAUUUUGGCUAAGCAAUGUUGUUGGCAAAGAGGAAGGAACCUUCUUCACUAAGGAGCGAGGAUUUUGUUGUAAGAGAUUGAUGCCGAAUGCGGCGACAGGAUGUUGAAUCUGUUCUUUGUGCAAGCUCGAUAAAGUUGGAUACGACGCUCACCUUGGUUGGCUCUUCCUUAGGAGAUCACAAAAUUUCUAUGAGGUUUUGACCCAUAAGGUCGAGUCAUUGUAACUGAGGCUAAAUUUCGUAUUGAAGUUGGCUCCUUAUUGAUUCCGAUAGUCGCAAGGCAUGGAAAUAGUGCAAUUAUGAUUGACCUUGAGUUGGUCGCCAUGAAUAAUUGGACCACAUUGAGGAUGCUAUAAUUCUUGAGUUACUUGCUUGUUGGUCAAUUUGGUGAGAUUGUGUUUGCCAAGAUUAGAUUCGACGAAGUCGUAACCAUGAGCAAUAAGCAAUAUCGCUGGCCAUGCUAGUACAGUGCGUUUGAGAUGGGAUGGGACAAAGCUAUUACUUGCCGAUAUAGUAUAGAGGUGAGACAUAGCCACUGCAUUGGUUGGCAGCCCCUGUAUCGUGUUCUUGCAACAGAUGCAAGCAUAAGAUAGGACCACAAGUUGUUGCUUUGUGCUUGUUGUAAUGAUGAGGACAUAGUGUCAGUGAAACCAUUAUUGAUGAUUCCAUAAAGCGUCUAUUAUUUGAUUGUGGUAUUGCCCAUCCAUAACAGCCCUCGCAUCUUGGGCCUUGAUAGGACCAGAUUGACCAUGAUAGCAUGAGAGGUCGCCUUGUAAAAUAGCUGUUGUGUACGCUAAAAUGGUGAAUGGCAUAACUUGUAAGCAAGUAGGAGAUUCCUCUUUAUUGCAUGGCUAUAAAAAAAUGUUCAAUGAAACGUCAUUGUGCCAAGAUGCUUUCGCUUGUGGUGAUGUCGCAACUCCAUUUGUUUGAGAAUGAAGCUGCAAUUUUUUUUUUUUUUUUGGGCAAGUCAAAAUCUGCUGUGGCAAAGCCUGUUGCCACUCUUUCUCGUCAUGCCAUUAGGAGUUGUUGAGUGUGAUGCUUCUCCAUUCUACAUAGAAUAAGUGUACUUUAGCAGACUAUGCCAUUGUUGGAUGACUUUGGCUUAGAGAAUUGUGGUGCUGUCGUUGGGACUUUCAUCAAUGAGGCCAAUCUCAUUACCAAUGCAUCAUUUUCUGAGGUUAAGGCUACUGCAGACAGCAACAUAGAGCUACAAUAGAUGGAACCACGGCCGCUGUUAGUAACUUUGAACCCUUUUUGGUCUAUUUCUCACUUAUGGCUUGAAAGUAAAGAAGAGAGCGACUGCAAGCAAAUGUCCCAAAGAUGGUGAUGUUGGAUAGGGACUUCGACAUUGCUUCAACCUUUUCCUUCGCCUCCUUUCUUGCUUUCCCUUUCUUUUUUAUUUUUAUUUUUAUUUUUAUUUUUAUUUUUUAUUUUUUUAAUCUGAUCGUCUUGUAUUGAGCCCUAAGCUUUGAAAUUUGGAACUAGUUGAAGUGUGUAAUAUGGGCUGCUGCCUUGGAAACAUUUUCUCUUGUAUUUCACCAUUGUGGACAACCCACUUAUGUAUAGAGCAGCUCCUGUCUAGUUAUAUUGGUGCCACUUUGAGUUUGUACUAUCAUGGU